rnacentral:rRNA from 1 species
UACGUAGGGUCCGAGCGUUGUCCGGAAUUACUGGGCGUAAAGAGCUCAUAGGUGGUUUGUCGCGUUGUUCGUGAAAACUCACAGCUUAACUGUGGGCGUGCGGGCGAUACGGGCAGACUGGAGUACUGCAGGGGAGACUGGAAUUCCUGGUGUAGCGGUGGAAUGCGCAGAUAUCAGGAGGAACACCGGUGGCGAAGGCGGGUCCCUGGACAACUCCUGACACUGAGGCACGAAAGCUAGGGGAGCAAACAGG